rnacentral:rRNA from 1 species
GACGAACGCUGGCGGCGUGCUUAACACAUGCAAGUCGAACGAAGAGCGAUGGAAGCUUGCUUCUCUCAAUCUUAGUGGCGAACGGGUGAGUAACGCGUAAUCAACCUGCCCUUCAGAGGGGGACAACAGUUGGAAACGACUGCUAAUACCGCAUACGAUCUAAUCUCGGCAUCGAGGAAAGAUGAAAGGUGGCCUCUAUUUAUAAGCUAUCACUGAAGGAGGGGAUUGCGUCUGAUUAGCUAGUUGGAGGGGUAACGGCCCACCAAGGCGAUGAUCAGUAGCCGGUCUGAGAGGAUGAACGGCCACAUUGGGACUGAGACACGGCCCAGACUCCUACGGGAGGCAGCAGUGGGGAAUCUUCCGCAAUGGACGAAAGUCUGACGGAGCAACGCCGCGUGAGUGAUGACGGCCGUCGGGUUGUAAAGCUCUGUUAAUCGGGACGAAAGGCCUUCUUGCGAACAGUUAGAAGGAUUGACGGUACCGGAAUAGAAAGCCACGGCUAACUACGUG